UACGAAGGGAGCUAGCGUUGUUCGGAAUCACUGGGCGUAAAGGGCGCGUAGGCGGCCUCAGGUGUCGGAUGUGAAAGCCCGGGGCUCAACCCCGGAGGUGCAUCCGAAACUCUGGGGCUGGAGGUCGGAAGAGGAGGGUGGAAUACCCAGUGUAGAGGUGAAAUUCGUAGAUAUUGGGUGGAACACCGGUGGCGAAAGCGGCUCUCUGGUCCGGACCUGACGCUGAGGCGCGAAAGCGUGGGGAGCAAACAGG
rnacentral:rRNA from 1 species